rnacentral:rRNA from 1 species
AUGAGGCAGUACUGGUGGGGAGUGGAGAAGGGUAGGAGGAAGAUGGCUUGGUUGAGCUGGGACAAGAUGAGGUUGCCGAAAAAUAAGGGAGGUAUGGGUUUUCGGGACAUGCGAGCUUUCAACCAAGCACUUCUUGCAAAACAGGCAUGGAGGCUAAUUGAGUCUCCUGAUAGUUUGUGUGCUCGAUUGUUAAAAGCAAGAUAUUUCCCCGAUGGCAAUAUUAUUGAUACAGUGUUUACCGAAAGAUCUUCGGCCGUCUGGAAGGGUAUAGCUCAUGGACUGGAGUUGCUAAAGAAAGGUAUAAUUUGGAGAAUUGGCGAUGGUGCUUCGGUAAGAACUUGGAGAGACCCCUGGAUCCCUCGACGAUAUGAUUUUCGCCCUAUUACUCCCAAAAGAAAUUGU